GUGUGGCACGCUGCUGGCGAGAGGAGCUGCCAAACUGUUUGCCUCGGCGCAUGGACGCCUGCGAAGACGCCCUGCUGCAUCUGGAUGUUUUAUGGAUGAAGCUGGCACCAUCUGCAGGCUCCAUUGCUGGUUUGAUGAAUGACCUGCUGAACUCCCACAAUGAGAGUCUCUCUGCACAGACAGCCAGUAAGUCGCCAGAAGACUCUCUCACAAUCAUCUUCAUCCAGUAAUCUUCUCAUUACACUCUUAAGCUCACUUGGUUGAGGUCGAGUUGUUUCUCCCGAGAAGCUAUUUGGCUGAAAUGCCUUAAAAAUCAAAUAGAAAGAUAACUUUUUAUUAUGUUGCCAUAGUGAUGAGUGUUGGUUUUGUGCCUGCAACUUAGAAACCUAAUGCAGCACCAUGGAAACCAUAAUCAUAGCAAUAAGUGCUUCAGAGGGAGCAGCGCUGAUCAUUCCAACUUUCAGAGCACUUUGUUUGCCCAUGAAACCUUGAGGUGUCUUUAAUAAGCUGCCGCGCUGCUUUUUAUAAGAGGAAAAAGACAGAAUGCGCCCCCGAAUCCCACACAGACAUGGUCACUCCUCCCCUCACAAACUCCCUUCUUCCUGCCGUCCACUCGCGUUAUGAUCGCCACCUGCUACCCGUCAAUCCCGGCCAGUUAUGGACUGACAGACAUUAUUCUGACUUCAGGCCACACUGUGACAUGAAGGGCAGCACGUUUUGAUUCCACACAAGCUGUAAAGGUCAAGUGGAGACACCGAGGGGUCGUCUGUCCAACGCUGGUGCAGCCGUGUUUGUACAUGUUUUCCAAAUAGUGAAACAGGACAUCCUGCCUUCAGGACUUGAGCUAAAGAGACAGACUUUUGAGCUUUCGUUUACCUAGUUGAAAUCGUAGUUUACACAGCAAAUAAAGGUUUGAACUAUCCUUUAUUCCCUGAUUAUUUAGGAAGUGUUGUCAACAUCUUGAUCAGUUGGAAAUGAAGCGAGAGCAAAACCUUUCGCCUCGAAAGGACCACUCGGUUCAUGUCAAAGCAUGUUCACUUCGAAGAUAGAGCCAGCGGUGGAGAGCCUGAAUGCUGGUAUUACCAAGCUACGCAAAACAAUUUUGUUCCAUCUUCACACUCUGAGAUGAGAAAAGGAUUUUUCACACCUCGAUCAGGUAGUCUCUGGGAUCGCAGGUACUGAACGGUCUCUUGAACAGCAGGUGGAAGCCCCCGGCUUUCUGCUUGGCUUCAAUCAGCUCGUAGUCCUGUUGGCUGUCCAGCGAUACGUGGCCGUCACUGUCACUCCAGGCAUCCUGAGGGAGAAGGUACACCGUGAAAGCUUUUUGGAAACUUUUAAAUGACUGAUUGUAAAAAAAAAAAAAAAAAAAAGUAACAUGGGUGGGAGAGCAAGGAGGAGAAAUUAUUUAAAUAAAUGUCAGAUAUAUUUGAUGUAAGGUAUCUUAGGAUUUAUUAUCGGUAAUUCUCACCUACGUCUGUGAAUAGAUGGGAAAACAACACAGUUGGAAAUAAGCAGCUGCAGUUUACGCUGUGAAACCUUCCCAACCCAAUGUACAAGAUAUUCUUAUGCUGCGCCAGAAGGCUUCGCCACUGCUCAGUCUUCUUUCAUGUUUCUCACAUUCAUACCUGUCCAGAAUAGCACCUAAGAUCUCUCUUUAUUUCUGUCUCUCUCUCUCUCUCUCUCUCUCUCUCUGUCCCUCUUAUAUAACUGUUCUGCAACUGUGAAGAUAUGGAAGGCAGCGAUUCAAAAAUAAAUGAAAAAAGAAAUGAGAACACAAAAUAUACAAAAAAGAAAAAAAAAAAAUCCAAAAGAAUUGUGGGCGAUAUGUGUUAUGUGAGUUACGAGUUACAGGCUGUGUUUGACCUUUACGGAUCGACGACUGAACAGAAGCAGUCUGUGUUGCAGAUGGCUGAUAUACAGAGCGGCGUCCCGUUUGUGGAAAAAAAAACUCUGCAUCUUGACGUCUCUGAGUUAGUACAGCAUGUGUUUCCAGGGCUCGCUGACGCUUCUUAUCUGAACCAAAACAGAGAUCCUACAGGGCCUGUUGGUCGGCGGAUGAUUGAAUGAGGGAUGGAAGGCCACAUUCGUCCGAGUCAAAACAAGAGUUGCUGGUUCAAAUACCCGGAGAAUACACAAAUGUGAGUUGCAGGUUAUUGUUGAGAGCUGCAGUGCAACAUUUCAUUCUUCCAAACUACAGGAAGUGAAGCCAAAAACAUUAUCACCAGUGAACAGUCAGCAUAAACUAAAACGACUUAUUAAAAUGGAAAUCAGAGACAUUUCCAAAGCAGUUGUCAAAAAGAAUUUAUUUUCAUUAUGAAAUCUUAAAAAAAAAGGGGGGGGGGGGGGCAUUUGUCUUUUCAUGUAUUUUGACAGUUAUUCAUUAUAAAACAAACAUGUCAUGAUUCAAAAAACAGAACAAAGGAAAUCUCAAACUUCAGGCAUCACAAGUGUCACAAAAACAACUGUCCACUUCUUUGAUUAAUCCGUCUCAUUAAAGUUUGACUGCGUGGAGAAUAAAGAACUGUGGAGCAAAGAUGGAAACUGCUUUUCAUUGUUGGCUGGUAAGUUAGUUAAAUUUACAUGAAGUACACUUAGAAACGUGAAUUGUCAUGGUUAAAUGUUUGUAAUAAUUCAUCACAAUAGAAUUAUAUUUUCAUAUUAAUAUUGAAAGCAGCUUCUUAUCAAUACAGUGACAGCUACAAAACAGUUUUAUGCUUAAUCUGUGUAACGGCACAUGAUUAAUAGGCAAUGUACAUCAAAAAAAGAUGUCUUUUUCAGUUAAAUAUCAUUCGUUUGUGGUUCUGCUCCAAUGUUUCAUAUUAAAAUAAAUCUCAAAGUUUCUCUGCAAAUUAAAAUCAUGAACAAACACAAAAUUUUGGUUUUAAUAAAUGAAUAAAUAUUUUAAAAGAUUCUUCAGUAAUAUUCCUGUUGAUAUUCUGCUCCUGAGCCAGCCUGUCACAGUUAAACACAGAGAAACUGUACACUCCCAAACCAGCAGCACUUCAGCCACUAUUGUGUCAAACCUUUUAAUUUUUAAUCAGUUUUAGUUGUUUCAGAUAAGUUAUUGUUGAUUUACUCUGAUGCAGAUUUGUGGUUGUAUAAAGGAAUGGACACAUCACCACAUUAAUGCAGUGUAUUGAUGAAGAUGAUGAUGAAGAUGAGUGUACUAAUGUUUGAUGAUUUGACCAGAGACAAAAAAAUCUGUUAGAAGUCAUUGUAGCUUGAUUUGGUGAUGUUGGGCUGUGAGUCUGCAGGAUGAUGGUUAAGUUGACUUUUACUCAUUUUUCCACUUCUGUCUUUGCAUUUAUUGCAGUGUGUGGGUGUGCGUGUGUGCAGUGUGUGUGUGGUGGUAUAACUGUUGCGCAGCAGUGACCUUUGUGGGUGAUUUUUCCCUGCUGAUUGCAAAAAUAAAUGAAAGUAGUUGAGAAAUAGAGUUGGAAAGGAGUUUUACAGUGAAAUAUCUGACAAGAGUGACACGCUAUUAUGGUAAAGCACAGGAUGCUGAGCAUGGAGAGUUUCGUGGAAGAAGGAAAAAAAUAUUGCUUCAAAAGUACACGGUUCAAGGAGCUGUGCCAUAGGUAGUACAAAUGUACUGUAGUGUCAUUGGGCAAGACAUCGAAAAACCAAGGUUUUUUUUCCCAGCACGCCAUCGAACUGAUGCGUGAAUUGGUGGAUUACACAAAUCAUGUGAAAUGCAUGGAGAAUCUGCGCAGUAUGUUGUAUAACUAAAGCUCCUUUAUCUGUUUGUGAGUGACAGUAAUUGCCUUUGUUCAAGGCGUAUUGUAUUUGUUCUUUUCAUUUCCGAAGAGUGGUUAUAAAAAUGGUGCUGAGUGCACUGCCUGACUGUUCCCCAAGUUGAAAGUAGAAGCCAAGGAAAAAAAGCAAGGAACUGACAAAAUGUUUAAUUCAGUUUGAAUUUCUUACUUUUUGAAGGUCCAUCCAUCCAUCCAUCCAAUUGAAGGUUUUUGCAGUUGUUUUAUAUAAUAAAUACCGGAUGAUCUUAUCAAGACAGGAACCAUUUUUUAAAAUUCAUUUUCUAUUAAACAAGUUAUUUCCAAAGUCAAUCCUAUAGUUUUUUUUUGUGUGUGUGUUACUGAUGUUACACAAAGUAAAAUUCAAGAGCAAUUUUUUAAAAAAGGCAAUGAGUUUUCACUGCAGUCAGUUUUUAUUACCCUCCCUGCUUUCCUCCCAUGAUUUAAUAAUGCGUUCAACAGAAGCUCCCAUAAUGCUACAGAUACGAUAAGAUAUUCAAUUAAAAAAGGGUAAGUUAAAAAGACUUCUUUAUAUUUUUAGAAGUAGUUAUCAGCAAAUUUAAAACAAAAAUUCUCAUUUUCAAAAGCCUUGUUUCAGGCAAAAAAAAAAAAAGAAAGAAAAAAAGCAGCAGUGUAAACAUCUUAAUAAGCACAGGCUUCAACUUUGAUAUGCUAAUGCCUGCUAAUGAUUCCCAGGGGAACCUCAGUUAUUUGUGCGGUUUGAGUGAUUUCCAAUUAGCAGAGGCUGAUAAUGAUAUCAUGAGGUAAACCGUCCGCUGACUCCUGGAGCGAAAACACCAAUCACACACUCCAAAGAGCUGAAAGAGGGAAAUCCAGACCCUGUGUGUUUAUGAAUUGGCAAAAAAAAAAAAAAAGUAAGAAGUCCACCUUUGUGAGCUUUCUCUUUUGUGAAAUUUUACCUUUAAAUUCUAAAAGUUUAAACAUUAAAGCAGACAUACUUUGCAGGUUUUCUUACCCCAAAGUAGCUGCUGUCUCCAGAGUCCCACAGCACCACCAGGUCUGCGUUGGUCAGCUCUCCGCGGUCAGACAUCCCCAGGACGACGCCGUGCCGGAGCUCUGCCACCGUCAGCUCCAUGUAAACCUCCUGGUUGGCGUAGCUGAUGUUCCAAGCCAACUGGAGCUCCCCGCGGGGGUCGAGGGGGACGCGGAAAGGCAUGGGGAGGUACGGAAGAGGGCUGGAGGGCUUCUGUUUGAGGCUGGACAGGUCGACCGGGUUGCCGGGCGCGUGGUACGAGGCCACCAGGAUGACCAUCAGAGCGGCCAGGGCGGUGAAAUACAUGACGGUGAUGUCCUGCAGGCGAAGGUUCUUGUUAAAGAUCCUCAUAGCUGAAGGUGGUCACAGCCAGCUCCAGUACAGAGAGGGACAGAUUCUCUCAGCAGAGCUUUCACCUUCCUCCUUUCUUGUCUUCUUUAGUUCCUCCAGUCAGAGUUUUGUUUGUUGUUCUCUUCACAAAAACGCCGUUCAACUUUUGCUUCCGUGACUCUGUUUAAGCUGCAGUUCCUCUGUUUGUCUCCUUUACUUUCAGGCCACAGUAGACUCCUUUAUAGAAACCAGGUGGAAAUUCUUUAUUCUUUCCUCUGCAUGUUCUUCCUUCUCUCAGGCUCUCAUCUUUGCAGAAGUCUGACUUUCUUUUAAAUCUCACCGAUUUUCCAGUGGUUAAGUAAUCUGUUGUGAAGCGCUGGUGGGUAUUGUCUCUUUCCUCUGGGAUGCUGCUCUGUCUCCCUCUGUCUCAUCCACCUCUCUUCUUUUUAAGAGACUCCUCCCUUGUGAGUUGUCUGUUUUUAUCCGGGCUAAUGGUAUUACAUUUAUUGCAGAAAAUUGGAUUGUAUUCUUUAAGCCCUAGGGUCAACCAUGAUUCUGCACAUCUGCCAGACCCUAAUUGAUCCAAAUUCAACCAUGGACACUAUCAAUGACAAUCAGUUUGGACUAACUAAACUUUAUUGGUCGCUCCAUCUCCGUCUUUUCUGCUUUGGGGAGUGUGGUUCAUGCAUUUCCAUGUACAUUGAAAUCUUCACUGUACCUCCUUUUAAAUGACUUUUGGGAUAUUUAAUUCCAAAGGAUUUGGAGGGCAGCGGGGUUUUGUAGCCACAUAAACAAGGCUUUAAUGCAUUCGGCCCUUUCCUUAAGCCUUCGCCUAAGGCUGCCAAAGACCUAAUCAAACUGUCAAUUAUAGGUUUCAAAAGCAAAAAGGUCAUGGUUUUAAAGGUUAGUGACAUGCCUGUGGGACAGUGUGUGUGCGUUUGUUCCUGCGUUUACAUUUUGUUAAAAUGCAGAGAACCAAUUGAUGUAUAAGAGUAAAAACACUGUUCUUUAACCUGUCCUCAAUUUCUGUAUGUGUGUGUGUGUCUGUGUGUGCAGAAGGUGUGGAAGUGCUGUGUCAAGAGGUCAGGGUUGACAGAUCUGACUAACCAGUUUGCAGCCUAAACACGAGAUGAAACACACCCAACUC